rnacentral:misc_RNA from 1 species
CGUUCCUAUAUUCGUAACUUCAGAAUUUGGAAAAGAAGAAACUUUUAGGAUUGAAUUCAAGCAACUGCAAAUAGUACAAGAUUAUUUUGGAUUACAUUUUUUCAAGAAAAUUUUUGUCCUCCCAUUGCACGUUAGUUUGACAACUCAAAUGAUUCUACGACUGCUUUCAUAGUUACAUAAACAAAAAGUGACUGCAAUCAGUGAGUUCGUCCCAGGUUCCACAACGAGCCUGCUUUAGUUAUUGCUUUCACGAAAAUUGACUACAUACCUUCAUUUAAUGUGACUUCUGGGGAAUUGAGGUUGAAGUCAUUGGAGAAAACAAAGAACUCCAACUUCAACCUCAACCUCGGAUGAAGCCAACACCCCUUGUAACCAUAUUUGAUAAUGUUACCAGGGUUUUCCUGUUGAUCAUGAUACAAGGAAGAUCAUCGGUACAAAGCUGAAAGAACAUAAUGAUUGUGGCAAAUAUUACCAGCUCUAAGAACAAAUUCUGUAUCUGUAGCUCUGUAUGGAAUACAAAGGCAGGCUAUAAUACACAUAAAAUUACUUUCAGUUUGAAAUAAAGCUCCACAAGUGUCUUCAAAGAAUCGACCAUGCUCAUAAAGGAGUUAAAAAUUUUAGGUCAGCAAAACAUCAGGAAUUGUACCUUCCCAAAUAUAGAAAUUAUUACAUCCAGCUGACCUUCAGACAUCACUUUGAGACUUGUGGGGGGUUGGUGAUUCCGUGUGGAUCAUACCCAAGUUCAGCAAGUAAGCUUUUGUGGUGUCUCUACAAAUUCAGGCCCCAGUACAGGUCUCCUCCAACAUAUCUAUUGGCAGCAUGGACUAAAGAGGCUCCAGAAGCAUCAAUACCCAAUGUAGCUGGGAUCCCCAACAUACUCUGCAAUUUGUUCAAGUUUGACAUUGAGCAAUUCAUGGGUAUCAGAAUCUUGCACAAUCCCAGUCUCUUGGUCCAAAUCCCUCUGAACCAAAUUACCAUACGUCCCCUUGUGCUUCCCAUACAGAACAAGGACGGGACCCCCACGUCGGGGUAAUGCAGUCUCGAGAAGGUCCUGAUCUAUUCCCUGUACCAACUCCUUAGUCUCAUCCAUGGAUAUAUCACAUACAUAUGGACCAACCACGUCUACCACCUGCCCCUUCUUCAAAUAAAAUUUGCCUCCUUUCAAGUCCUUGCUUAUAAUUCUGACCCGAAUGUGAUUUCUGAGCCAUCGCUUUCUGUCAUCCUUCUCUUGACCGCUGUCUCUCCUCAUACUCUCUCUGCUUUCUUUAAUUGAUUCAGUAAUGCGCUUUUCAUUGUCCCCAUCGUUCGGUUGCUUGCCUUCUCUCUGUAUCAUUUUCAACUUCCUCAAGCACUUCUCUUCUUCUCUAGAGCCCAAAUCAGCAAUAUCAGAAAUACGCAGUUUUUGCUCCUCCUCAGUUUCUGAAAGCUUCAAAAUAACCCGACCAUCAUCUAGCCUCUUUGAAAUUCUACCCUUUGAACCCAAAAUACCUUUUCCACCGGCAAUAACUCUGACAACUUUACCAACAAAGAAACCAUCAGUAGGUUCAUUUCUGUCUCUUUCUCUUUUCCUCUCCUUUUGCCUGUCUCUAUCCUUAACACUAGUACUUGCAGCAUUAGAAGCAGGAGGAACAAAACCCAACCCUUCUUUAUCAGUUCUCUUGUGGUAUUGCUUGACUUUGACAUCUUCCUUAGCAUUCCUCCCGAUACCUCUCCCUUCAUGCCAACCAUAACCAGCCAGCAAAGCCGCACCAAACCCUUCUACAGGCACAUCCUUAAACUCCUCAAAUCCUCGAUCCUCCGGCAACCGCUGGAGAUCAUACUUCAACUUCUCCAACAACAAAUUCUCAGUACUUUCUUCUUUCUGGUGAGAUUUGACUCCUUCGUCACCAUCGCCCUUAUCUCCGUCGGCGCUGCUUUGCUGCCGGAUAUUGAGGCCGUAGGACAUACUCUUAUCGUCCUCGCCGUGGCCAUCGGUGGCAAUCUCGAAGCGAAGGCCUUCGUUGUCGGAUUGGAGAGUGGGAAGGAGGUCGAGGUUCCUCAUUCGCUUGUGAGGUCUCCAUUCGUUCUCUUUAGGGGGGAUGAUGAGAUUCCGAUUGGAAUUGGGUAGGGUUUUAGAGGGAUCAAAUUCGGUGACGUAUUCUUUAACAGUGCCAUUGUUUUGGGUAACGAUAUCGAUUUCAGAGGAAGGUUUGGGUUUGGUUGUGGAUUUGGCGGCUGAUUUGGGGAUUGAGAAGGAGAGUUUCAUUGCCUCAAGAAUUUUUGAUCAAGAUUGGUCCGCCUCUGGUCUCCCCCCCUU